UGAACCUAGGGUUACAAGAAGCACUGUGAGGAGAAGAAAUGGUGGCGAUCCAUCUUACUUUUCAAUACAGACCUGACACUGGAGACUAUGGAGGCAAGAUAGGGCCAACAAUUCUGUAGACUAUUACCGUUUACCUUAUGGCUUACACAGGGCACAAAGGCACGUACUAACCUUGUAUUACCAUCUGUGCCAAACAACAUGAAAAAAACCUUUUCAAAAGCGUUUCAGACUGCCAAAUGAUUUUGAAACCUAACAAGAAAGUGCAUGACAUUUUAAAUCAGUGAGCUGAUUUACAAUGAAACCGAAUAUAGUUACAGUAUACACCUUAUGGAGAAAAUGCUGUAGGCAAAGAUUCGUGCUGUGGAAAUUGCCUGUUAGUGGGUUACCACACAAGAAAAUAAUAUUUCUGUUACAAUGUUAUUCUACCAACAGGGCUGUCAACAGUAUAUCUAAUUUCCUGAGUAGCAGGUGAAAACAUUCCGUGUGGCCCCCAAACUUUUAACCCAUUUUUUGUUGUUUUUCACCUAUUAGAAAAAAAAAAUCUUAUUCAUUAACAGGAUAAACUUCACUGCGCUUCCCCGGCCACCUGGCGCAAAGCAUAAACAACCGCAUUCUCUCUCUCUUUCUUUUCUUUCUUUCUUCCUUUCUUUCCCUGCACGCUGCAAGAUAAAUGGAAGGGCCCCGAGGAAACCUGAAAAACCGGGCGGGUAUCCGUGCAUCUCCAUGACCAUGGUGUGAACCUUUCCUCGCAGGCCCAUAAUAAUGGCUGCUGUCGGUGCUGUCUGCACUGCGGCCCGUCGCGGUGAUAUAUGGAGGGUCAGUGGGCCGGGACUGGCUGCUCGGAAUGAGCGGCCCGGUGAGCGACCAAGCCCGGUACUCAAGCGGACAGAAACCCGCGGAAGGCGCAGCUAGAACCUGCUGGUAAACCCUCAUAAUUCAUGCAGACGUGGAGCUGUCAGCAGGAUUACAUGGCUCGACAUGGCCCGGCAUUGGAAGAUAAUCCCCACGCUGCCUUUCGCCACCGCACCUGAACUUUUCCCUGACCCGGGCAGAGGCAUGGAGAGCUGAGUGGGAAGUUAUCUGGGGUUCAAAACAAGGAGAAGAUGGAAACCCUCAGCUGGUAGCCCACUUUAUUUGUCCACACUUUUUGAUGCACUAUUUUCUUGUCCUUUUAACAAAAGCUGAUUGAUUAUGUUUAAAAUCUCCACUGCUUCAGCGUAAAACUAAUGUUUCAGAGGUGUUUACGCAAAUCAGAGCUCCUUAUCACUGUCAGCGGAGAGGAGUUAGAAACGCAGACCUCUGGAUGUUGGCCAGACAGCGGUCCAUAUCUUCCCACAAUGUUGACACUGGGAGCUCUUAACAGCCAGGCUUGGGUUACCGAUACUCUCAGCCGAAGAUAACUCUUUCUGCGAGGUUUACACCAUCCAAUAUCAAGGCUAAUGCGAAAUUCAACGCCUUAAGCUGAGCGGAGACCGUCUCUGUAGGCCUAAUGAACCCAGAGCGACACUGAGGGACAGUUGAACUGUUUGUUUAAAGGUGGUUGUAAUAAAGCAAUUUUAAUUUUCA